AUAGAGAGAAAGAAGAAAAGUAUUCUGCUACUUCACUACUUCUAUAUCCAGUUUCUUCUAAGGUAGGGAGUAUUAUUUCUUUUGUAUUCAUGAAGAGAACUUCUGUUAUUCUAUUCUUUAUUAUUCUGUUGGAAUAACCUGUAUACACGGGCUACCCUAUACUUGGUGACAUUCUUCUAUUAUUCCGUCUUUAUUAUUCUGUUGGAAUAUCAUGUCUGUGCGAUUUACGCCGGACCUGAUUCCGUCUUUAUUAUUCUGUUUGAAUAUCCUGUCUGUGCGUUUUACGCCGGACCUGGUUCCAUCUUUAUUAUUAUUCUGUUGGAAUAUCCUGUCUGUGCGUUUUACGCCGGACUUGGUUCCGUCUUUAUUGGUAUUCUGUUGGAAUAACCUGUCUAUGCGAAGUACCGCAUGCAUGGUGAUUUCUGUUAUUAUUCCGUUCUUUAUUAUUC
rnacentral:lncRNA from 1 species